CCCGACAACGGCAAACCCGACGCGAGCCGGGGACGCAAAGCCACGGGUCAGGCCACGCGCCUGACAGCCGAGCUGCCGAAG
rnacentral:ncRNA from 1 species